rnacentral:tRNA from 1 species
AAAAAGUUAGUUAAAUCAUAACAUUAAUAUGUCAUAUUAAAAUUACUGGUAUAAUCCAAUACUUUUUG